CCCCUCCCUCUUACGGUACUUUUAUCUUCUUCCUCCUCCGCCCCGCCGUGGCUCUGGAUCUGGUGACCUAGCUAGAUAGCUACCCAUGGCGAGCGGCCAUGCCUCGCUCCACUGAAGCCUCCUUGCUUCGAGCUACUCCACGCCUCAGUAAUUCAACUUCUCUGCCGUGUUCCCCUUGCGUGGAUCGAUCUACUUCCGGCCGGGCGCGCAGCGCAGGACGCGAGGGCUUGGUCUUGGUCUUGCCGCUGCUGCUUCCUCUGGGCUCCAGAUCUCCCGCUCGUUGAUGGCCGGCCGGUGAGUCCAUAGAAACUCCAAUCGCUCCAGCUUGAAAUUUCAUUUUUUUUUUCAUUUCAGACGUCCAUGGAUGGGUAGAUCUGCUAGUAAGUGCGUAAGUACGAGUCAGUCACCGCGGUGGCUGCCAGCAAUUCUCUGUGACUAUCGCAACCCUACCCAUCAGCUAGCUAGCUAUAACGUGAUGAAUUGCUUGCGAAGAGCCUGGUAGUGACGAUGGCGGCGCCGUGACCGGGCAGGCCAACUGAUGAACUGAGCACAGGAGGAGUAUCUUCGAAGCACUGUAUACGGAAUUACUUGUCGCAGAAAUAGAUGUAUCUAGACAUAUUCUAGUUCUAGAUACAUUCAUAUCCGAGACAACUAAUUCCGAACGGAGGGAGUAGUACCGAGCGAUUAGUAAGCGGCCGCCCAGCCUUGAACUCCCAAGAAACAUUUUCCAACUAGACUAGUAGUAGUGAUUAGAAACCACUAGUAAUAUAAAUGCCACUUCCGAGCUGGGUUUAGAGUGUUUCUGUCACAGAGCACCCGGACUGACGGACUCUGGUGUGGGAGAAAAGGAGAUGGCACCGGCCGCGCUGUGGCUUCCCAGAUCUAGACGCCGACCAAGUGGGUGGGCCUCACGCAUGAGCCACCGCGUUCUUUCAUUUUCCCCCUUUCCAAUUUGGAAAGAACGGGCGGUGCACCAGNNNNNNNNNNNNNNNNNNNNNNNNNNNNNNNNNNNNNNNNNNNNNNNNNNNNNNNNNNNNNNNNNNNNNNNNNNNNNNNNNNNNNNNNNNNNNNNNNNNNNNNNNNNNNNNNNNNNNNNNNNNNNNNNNNNNNNNNNNNNNNNNNNNNNNNNNNNNNNNNNNNNNNNNNNNNNNNNNNNNNNNNNNNNNNNNNNNNNNNNNNNNNNNNNNNNNNNNNNNNNNNNNNNNNNNNNNNNNNNNNNNNNNNNNNNNNNNNNNNNNNNNNNNNNNNNNNNNNNNNNNNNNNNNNNNNNNNNNNNNNNNNNNNNNNNNNNNNNNNNNNNNNNNNNNNNNNNNNNNNNNNNNNNNNNNNNNNNNNNNNNNNNNNNNNNNNNNNNNNNNNNNNNNNNNNNNNNNNNNNNNNNNNNNNNNNNNNNNNNNNNNNNNNNNNNNNNNNNNNNNNNNNNNNNNNNNNNNNNNNNNNNNCAUGCUCAAGACAGGCCUAUUUCAGGGGCACACUACUGGAGUUGUACUAAUAAUCUCUUUCCAUUUUCAGUACUACCACCAACGACCCUGCGAUCCAGCCGUGUACUAGGUGCACGUUGGAUGGGCGGCACAUUAUUUCAUUUUAUUUUAUUUUAUUAGGUGUGAGUCACCCCUCUUUUUCUAAUGUACAGAUACAGGCGCUAUAUACGCAAAUCGUAGUCGAUGAAAACGUCUUUUUCCAUUAAACAUCCAUCGUUGAAAGGCAUGAAAUAAUUCAGAAGAAUACAAACAUCGAUGUCAAGUUUGCAACUUAAAACUCUGAUGGCUCCUGUCCUUUUAACCAUCUAACCAUAUAUUGGUUCGUUCACGUCCGCACGCGCGGUCUUCCUUUUGCGUCGUCGAUAUUAGCCGGACGGGGCUUUCCAUUUUUUACUCAAGAUUAUGAAGACCCCAUUGUUGGAAUUAUGUGUCCUACAACUAUAUUCAAAUUACUUGGAAUUAUUAAUAUCCGGAAUACCUCAUUGUGAAAUUACAAAUGUGAUUUCAACACCCAUUGCAACGCACGAGGCCUUUUGCUAAUAAUAAUAAAUAUGAUAAUAAUAAUAAUAUAAUACUCUUCCCAUUCCUAAAUAUAAGUCUUUUUAGAGAUUUCAACACAGAAUACAUACGAAGCAAAAUGAGUGAAUCUACACACUAAAAUAUGUCCAUAUACAUCCGUUAUGUGACUAUAAAUUAAGAAAUAUCUAAAAAGACUUAUAUUUAGAAACAUAGGGAGUAUAAAGCAAAAGCUUGCUGAUUGUUAGGUUCAUAUAGGUUGGCUAGUAUUACUACAAAUGCCUCACGCAACUGCCUCCUCCCCCAAAAGUCCAGGGUUUCUUUGUGUCCCGCCGGCGUCGCCACCGACCUGCCUCGUCUUUGAUAGCCUUAGGGUCAUGGCGGCACGGUGGAUCCUGGCCCUUAGCGGGAGGGCUCUGUGUUUUAGAUGUUUCUUUGAGUUUUCUUAGGGUUUGUGUCCUACUCAAAAAGACGAGACGACGGCGACUCCCUGAAGAUGGAAUAAGAUUCUCCUUGUCUAACCUCUCAUACCGGUGGUGCGUCUAGUAUCGUCGGUGCGCGCGUGGAGAUGCGUCUCCGACGGAUUCUGUCCUUGGUAGAUUUGCCCGGAUCUGAUCGUAGUUCGUCUAUAUUCAUGUGUCUUCAAAUUGGAUCCUUUCGAUCUAUCUACGCUUCUCUUCAACGUCGGCAGUUGCUGUUCUGGUGCGCUGGUCUUAUGAGGCCUUAACACGACAAUUUCCCGACUGUCUAUUAUAACAAGUUUUGUCCGGCUCCGGUGAGGGAGAAGCGAUGACGGCGGCACGCUUUCGGCUUGCUUCAGUGCUUGUAGUCGUCACUAGGUGGUCUACAGGUCUGGAUGUAAUUUUUAUUAUUUCUAGUGUUCAUUGUAUUGCCAUGAUUAAAGAUGAAUAGAUCAUAAGUUUUCUUGUAAACAUAUAUAAUAUAAUAAUAUUUAUUAAUAUUAAUAAUAUAAUUAUAUAAUAAUAAUCACAAUAAUAUGAAUAAUAAUAAUCGCACGUUUUUCUCCUCCCAUUUGCCAUCUACUAGUACAGUACUAGGAGUUUCUAGAAAAAAACUAUAGGUUAAUAAGUUAUCUUUCCUCAAAAAAAAAAAAAUCUCUCCUCGUGCAUGCCGUGAGGAUCUUCUUCCCCCUCCGAUCCAUCACAUUUUCCCUAGCUCUUCCUUUCUCCCAAACCAGAUCUUUGCUGGCGUGGUUUCAAGGCCCAUCGAAGCUCGGGCAGCCGCGCGCGCGCUCUACGUCGAUGAUGAAGGCGGUAACGGCGACCAAAACCUUUCUUCGUAAUUGGAUUUCCUGUUCCAUGGUUUGGAUCAACUGCCGGCCGGCCAGCCGGCCGCCCGAUACGAAUUCAGCUUUCUUCUACCCCUGAUUUCGAUCCUUGUUUCUGUGGUAUGGGAUUAAUCAGAUCUCAAUCCCCUCGUUCCUUCAAAUCAAAUUUAUUCAACAAGGGUAGAGUCGCCUCCAAGUUUGGUCCCUAUUCUCAAAUUUGAUUUGCUCAUGCAUGCCUGCAGGAUCUCCUCGUCGCCGGCUGGCUGUAUGCACCGUAUCUGAUCCUUCCUCUUUGUCCAUGUGUUGAAACCAAACACGGUUCGAUCUGAGCGGAUGAUCAACUUCUCCCUAUGCCAGGUAAAGUCUUGCACUCCUGAUGAAGUUUCAACCUUACCACCAAGAUGCAAAUUUUCUGCUCCUUUUUUCACCUAAUUAGAACGAACUGCAUAUGCGUUAUGAAGGUGUGCUUAAUUAUAUGAUGAAGUCUUGCGAGAGUCGGGAAUUAUUUUUCGGUUCAGUUCUUUUUAUUCCUGUUCUUCUGACGUUGGAUUGGUUCUGAAUGUUUUUUCAUACUGAAAGGAAGUUUCGUUAUGUGGCUAUAAAUUAAUUUGGGAAUGAAACGGGAAGUAUGAAAUCAUCUUCUUCCUAACAUCCCAGGCUCUCUAGUGAGAAUUCCUGAUGUCUGACUGCCCGUUCUUUCCGUAUUUGUAGACCGAUUCAGGAUUUACAUGUCGAUCAUCGUUUCUGGAGUGAUGGAUCUUCUGCAAAUUGAUCUGUGAAAGCCUUGAAGAAACAAAGAAACAAAACAUUCUAAUCCCCCGACUUAGUUAGGCAACAAUAACAUAGCAAGAACUUGAAAUAAAACACAUUCAUUUGGGAGCCCAUAUCACACGAAUUACAUUUCAAUUGACAUAGGAAAUGAAAAGGAAAAGGAAAAAAAGUUGUUACAAUGUGUGAAGAUUAUCAAAUUCACAAUAUUGACGCCCUUCCCUCCCCACAUGACUACCGCAAAAAUUAUCUGACACGAGGCAUUGCCAUGUUUAAUUGGACGCAAACAGAAGCACCGACACCAGUUACUUUGCGGCGAUAGGUCGACAGAACGAACUAGACAGGAAGGGAGGAAAGAAAUGAAGAUGGAGCUUGUUGCGCCAGCCCUCAAAGGGGAGGAUGGGAACUGACCAUGCGGCGGAGGAAGGGGAGAGAGAGGGAUAUAAAUUAAAGUGAUUAGAAGAGUAAUUACGCAAUCAGUAUAGACUUGCAGAGGCCCAUUUUUUAAGAAAAAACAGCGAGGACUAGCCCUUGGUUGCCAACUGAGCGACUCUCGGCGAUCAACUUAAUUCCUAAGGGUUUGGAUUAUAUGUUGAUGGAUGGCCGAGGUCGUGUGGUUCUGACAAACUUGUUAUUUUUAGAAAACAACCUGUUAAAAUACUACCAUAUCUAAAAAUUGCUUCCUUUUUUUGCCCACUAGCUCUAAAAUAUUAUGUCUUUCAUCCCAUUUAUCAAAAUCUCCCUGUCCCUAUGGCUUGGCCACUUGUCAAACCCAUACGUCAACUAAUUGAAGCCACAUCACAAAAUCUAAAUAAUAACAAGACUUCACUCUCUUUAAGCAAUAAUCUAGCGACGCAUUUGGCAUCCCUCCACGAGUCGGGCUUCAGCUUCUGGGAAUACGCCACUACCUCCUCCUGCCCUUGACGACAUUAUCUUUUUAAAAUCGCCAUCAAGGCACUUAAUUAAUUCAUAGGCAGGUUAACAUCUAAUUACAUGGGAUUACACCAUCAAUACUUGAAUCAAUAUCCAGCAUAAGUGUUGUCUUGGUGCACACACGUGCAUACAAUUGACAUUCCUAGCAAAACAAAAAGUAAAACCCCGGAAGUUUGAGAGAUAUCCCCUCAUCUUUUUGAAAAUCUGACCGCAUGCAGAGCGAUCCUCACCUUUCAUCCACAUAGAGUACAAGACUUGACAAUCCGUCUAGAGCACAAUGUACUGAAAGUCUUUCUCCAUAGCCAUAAUCACUCCUUCAUGGCAUGCCAGUGUCCCAAUGAUGAGCGGUUCAGAGAUUGCAUUAUAUUUAACAUACAUCGCCUGGAUAAGACCCAUCAUGUUCUCGAGCAAUCACCCCAGCUCCUGCUAUACCUCGACUUGAUUUUUGAAAUUGCUAUUAAAUUUUAUUUACUAAAAUAUUGUAAGCCACCUUCAAUUAAAUUUUGUUACAAAUAAUUCUAAGGAAUUUAUAAGGGUAAAUUACAAUUUAGAUUGUAAUUCUACUAUAUACUGUACUCUCGCCGUUUUAGUUUACUAGGUCCAUCUAAAAAAUCACUGUACCCAAAAAAGACCUAAUCAAGUGCUGGACCACGUAUUAAUGCAGUAUGCUUCGUCAUGGCUCUUUUCCUGCAUUUGUUGGUUCUAAAUUAAGAACCAAAAUUUGACAAAUACCAAUGUGGCUCUAAUUAAUGAUUGCGUAAACCCAAGGCACGGGGGCUUACAAACUAAAAACUCAGAUAUUUUGAGAUGGGUCUAACAAACUGGACGGGAGGGACUAUUAGGCAGUAACAUUAUGCUUGGAGUUGAAGUUUCAUGUCUUUUGAGAUUAAUAAUAAGAAUCCAUACAUUUAUUGUUCCAACACUUGAAUGUGGUAAACACAUGAAAUAUGUCAAAGUAGAGGGUAAAGAGGAAGAAAAAGCAAAUCAGAGUAUCUUGGACACUUCGGCACAAAUUAGUAGAAAUAGUAGAAUUUAUUCUGAAAAGGGAGAAUCAUGUUAACACCACGGAGCUCUGUGGGUGAAUUCAUUUGUAUCUGUAUAUAGGAGAUUCAGCCAGCAAAAGUUACACAUGGUCCACAAUCUCUUGUGAUUAACGAGUUGCGUAUGUCCUACAUAGUGCACCCAAUCUUCGGGAUAUUUUAGAACUUAGCCCGGGCACACAUGCCUCACAUUUUAACUCAUUCUAUGCUUCUCAUCAUUUCGUUGUUUGGUCACUCUUGCAGGUUCUAGGCCAGCUACCAAGCAUCAUCUGCUCGGGAUAUUUUGUUUACUCUGACAUCCCGUAACUCUGUUGAAUUACUCUCCUAUAUAUCGUCAUGUAUAGAUGGUGCGUUCCUUUUACAGCGAGCUGUACGUGUUGCACAACACAUCUUAUCUAUUCUACAGUUGCAGAGUUGCCUAGGAUUAUGUUCUCAGCAUUUCGUUCUUUGGUCACUUGUGCAGGUUCUGGGUCAGCCACCAAGAUUCCUCUGUUCUGCAUAUUUUGUUUCGUCUGACAUCCAACAAGUCUGGAAGCGAUCUCUUUAUAGCGUCACAUAUAACUGGCACGCUUCUUUUGAAGUCUCGUGCAUUUACUUGGAGCUCAUUGACACCGGUUAGUCUGAAGUGCAUCGGCUAUAAACAUGGGUAUUUUCGAUUAUUUUAAAUUUAUUUCAUCAGGACAUACAUUUCCAUGAAAAGAAAAUCAUCCCAUCUGCAUCAACAUUGAUGUUGUAGUGAGACCGAGAGAAGCCGAAGAAAACUUGCCAAGUCCUUUUUCCCAUUCUCCCGCGCAACCCAUCCCUAUGGCGGCUCCAGGACUGAAAUCCUAGUUCACCCCCCUCCUCUUGCGCUUGAGUCUUGUUUUGUCCCCAUUGGCUAGAGGUUGGACAGGGCGAGGCAUGUCACAUGUGGUGAUGGUGGCGUGCGACAAUGGUGACGCCGACGAGGCGCACCAUGGGAACAGUGGAGACAGGCGAUGCCGGAGACGCGUGGGUGGCGGUUGGCGCUAUGUGGUGGUGACGACAAUGGUGUAGGUGCCAAAGUGCGCAUGGUGGGCGGUGGGGUGCCAGGGGCACGGUGGCGGUAGGCGGUGCCAGAGUCACAUGGGUAGCAUGCGAUGGUGAUAGCGGCACAUGGCGGUGGUGGUGAGAUGCAUAGGGUGGACGGUGGGGCGCACCAAGGCAUGAUGGUGGUGGGUGGUGGCGAUUGGCGCUAUGUGGUGGUGACGACAAUGGNNNNNNNNNNNNNNNNNNNNNNNNNNNNNNNNNNNNNNNNNNNNNNNNNNNNNNNNNNNNNNNNNNNNNNNNNNNNNNNNNNNNNNNNNNNNNNNNNNNNNNNNNNNNNNNNNNNNNNNNNNNNNNNNNNNNNNNNNNAUGGUAUAGGUGCCAAAGUGCACAUGGUGGGCGGUGGGGUGCCAGGGGCACGGUGGCGGUAGGCGGUGCCAAAGUCACGUGGGUGGCAUGUGAUGGUGAUAGUGGCACAUGGCGGUGGCGGUGAGAUGCAUAGGGUGGACGGUGGGGCGCACCAGGGCACGAUGGUGGUGGGUGGUGGUGAUUGGCCAGUCACACGGGUGGCGUCGGUGGACCAGAUGCACGGUGGUGUUAAGGGGUGUGCUCGCGGCGGACGUGUCGGUCUACUUGUUAAGCUCCGACGACGAUAAAAAGCGCGAGGAUCGCGGCGACAAUGGAAGAUUCAGAGGAAGAGGAUGCGUCAGCGAAGGAAGAUGCAGAGGAGGCCGCUGGUGGUGGCGAGUGGUGUGCCCGCGGUGGAUGUUGUGUCGGUCGAUUUGUCGAGCUCCGACAACGACAAAUAGCACGAGGAUCAUGGCGGCAAUGGGAGAUUCGGAGGAAGAGGAUGUGUCGGGGAAGGAAGAUGAGGAGGAGGCCGAUGGUACCGACGAGGUAUGCAUCCCCUCGUGGGAGGAGGCGGAAAGGGAGUAUGAGUGGGCGCUACCCAAGGAGGAGCACCGGGGUGGGAUGGCUCAUCGCGCACGUCGUGUUGGAAAGGUCCAUCGGCGACGAGCGUGAGAUAGUCGAGAAUCACCAUGACAGCGAGAACAAGAGCUGCUCUUUUAGCGCCGAUGACUUGAAGGUACCAUGGUGGAGCAUCCAUGAUGCCGAUGAGUCGCUCGGGGAAGGCGUAUUUGAUCUACCUCUCUUCCGAUAAGGACAAACACGUUUAUCCCGUUUUUAGCUCUAAAUCUACUUCCUCCGUCACGGUUUAGAAGGCGCGCUUGAAAAUUCUCUGGGACCUAGGUGGUUAUCUAUUGGUUGUGGGAUGGGCUAAAAAAUAUCAUUCACAUUACGCAUGCAUAUAGAAAUAGUAUAUUGGAGUACUAAUUAGCUACUAGAAGUAAAUGCAAUGCGCCCUAAACCUUGUCUAUUGUGAAAACGCACGCAAAUUUAACUGUGCCUUCUAAACUGUGACAGAGGAAUUAGGUUGUAGUUAGUUUAAGUACUUGGAUAUUUAAUGUGCACCCUAAAAUCUAGCGUAGCGGCAUAGGUAGAAAUCUAGUUUGGUGCUCGAGAGACCUCAAAUCUGACCACACAACUACUCCCUCUGUUCCGAAUUACUUGUCGCAGGUAUAGAUGUAUCUAGAUAUAUUUUAGUUCUAGAUACAUCCAUUUCUGCGACGAGUAAUAUGAAAUUACUUGUCGCAGGUAUGGAUGUAUCUAGAUAUAUUUUAAUUCUAGAUACAUCCAUUUCUGCUACGAGUAAUAUGGAACAGAGGGAGUAUGAAGUAGCUGUAGUAAUGGACUUUUGUUUGCUGUGACAGAAGUUGCAGAAAGUAAAAAACCAUGCAAGUGAUAAGCUCUUAAGAUGUCGGCAACACCUAAUGUUUGCAUUGCACUCAUCAUUCAAUGUCUGUUAACACCCAAGUAGUAAAAUAAAUUUGAUCAGCUAGCAGUAGCACACUUCGUCUACCACACACACAGUGAGUCUCACAAACACAGUGGCUCAUUAAUGAGUACAAGUGGGACACCACAAAUGUUGAAGGCACUAGUCGCAAUCUCCAAGAAAGCACUAUUCGCAUUGCUCUUGCCCACGCAAACAGAUAGUACUACCACUCCAGUCUUGCCGCAGAACCCACUCAAACUUCCCUGACAUCAACCUCGGGAUCCGAGCAAGAACCACCAUGUUUCAUCAUUGUCAUGAGUGCAUCAAUGACAUAGUCUGAGUCAUAGUUGAUCAAGUGAAGCAAUUGAUCAGUACCAGUUCCCGCGAGCCUUGUCAUGGAGGCUGGGUAGUUGGGAACCAGGUUGCCAUCCUCAUCUUGCUCAUAAACAAUGUAGUUUUUGAUGCGAUUAUGUCCUUCCUUUGCUGACAAGGCAUUGACUGAACCAUUCAUCUGAUGCACUGCUUUAAUCAGUUUGUCAUUCCAUCCGUGCACCUCAUAGUACUUGUACAGCAGGGCAACAUAUAAAGCAAGGAAUGAUCUGCCCAUGCUAGACCAAUCAUGUAAGUGAUCGUUCAACUCUUCAUGAAGCGGGACUGCAUCCCCAUUCUUGAAGUUCUGCUCCGCAAACUGCAAGAACACCCCUGAACGUUGACACUCCCCAAAUAAUAUCAUAAAUGUCUGCAGCACUCUAACUCUAUCAUAUAUCCAAUCUCCAAUACUAGUGCUGUUCUCUGGAGUGAAUAUUUUCAAGUGACAAUUGGUGGGGGUGAAAGCAAGGAGGCAUUCCAGUAAGUUCAGAGUUAUCCCUUUACCAAGAGUUAUCCCCACUUGCUUCGUGUAUCCACUGUCCCAACUUAGCUUAUUCCCUUCCAGAUCAAAGGGAAGGUUUACAUCCUUAAAGUAAAACCAUCCACCCGGAUUUUCCUUGGUUGGAACAACAUAGAAUGCGAUCAGAUAACCGUCACUUUGGCGAAAUAGAAGCCACAGCACAACCUUACUGUCCAGCUCAAUCUCCACCAUGUUGUAUGUUUCCUGCAAUUCACAUUUGCACAUCAUUUCAACUCCUAGCCACAUGUAGGAAAAAGGAUAAGAAAAAGAAGAAAAGAAUCAGCGAAUAUUACAUUUUCAGAAGGCUGCGUGACUGGAACUCCUUGAAUGCUCAUUGAUCUCACUUUCUUAAAGAGCUUGCGUCUAGCAUCCAGAACUUCCUUCAAACCAUCAUAGUUACUCUGAAUGGCGCCACGCUCGUCAAUGCUUUGAAUAUUGCCAUCCUGGUCAGUCUUCAGUCUCCAUAUUACGCUCUUAACAUCCUGCAGCAAAGAGGAAGCAACAAGCAUUAGUUUCUAAAAAUCAUUUGCUAUGCUUUAUCAACUUGCGGACAGAACUCAAGGUCAUAAAUAUAUUGCAGUCUAGCAUUUGCCUCUAUAUAUAUCCAAAAUUCUGAACCUACAGUUAAUAUGACAACUCUGAUACUGCUUGUCAAGUCACAAGAUAAUGAAUUAAAGUGUUGCACUGUUAUCUGCUGGUAGGUAUAACACAUAUGCCCAAACAUAUCGCUUCUACUCCUGCUUUUGCACUUAAGGUGAACAGAUUGCACAUAUGAUUCAUAAACCAAAGCAUACUGCUUCUACUCUACUUAUGCACCGAAAAGUUACAGAUUGCACAAAGAACUCUUUCAUGAAGAAUAUUACAGCUUGCAUUUCAUGACAAUGAAAAGGGGCAAAUGAUAUUUUGCAUGUUUGUUCUCACAUUAAGUUAUGCAAAAAUUAAAAUAUACGAAUGUGUUGUUCAUAGUGGUUAAGUUCAACGAAUAUGUAGUAUUCCUGUUAAUUCUUAGUUAACUUACAGACCUGUGAGAGGCUGUGUAUAUUAGUUUAAAUAUAUAAUUCUAAUGAUGUCAGAAAGCUGUGAGGCAGUGGUCAUCUAACGAGCAGCUGUAAAUUAACUUUCUCUUUUGAAAGCCACAACCACAAUUAGUUAGCAGCAUGUCAAAUUGAAAAAAAAAAACAAGUGAGAGAGAAGAAUGCUUGUGGUCGUCCAACACACGGAUUAAGUGAUAUUUGGCAAGACAGAUUUCUUUAGGAAUUAGUUCAAAUUCGAACAAACAUAACUGAGCAUUAGAACCCAAAUUUCACCCAUUCAAACAAGCCCUGAGUGCAGUACCUGUAUGCUGAAAGAUUCUAUUCACUGCUGGCAUAGUCUGAAUAAUUAAGCAAUGAAAUUGCAAAACACCAUACAAUUUCAAUAGCAACAAGUGAAUGAUCUAGUGGAAGGAUGUGUUUGGUUUGAGCCCCAACUAGCCCACCAAAAUUUUGGCAUGACCAAGACAAGGGCAUGACUGAAAAUUCGGCAACUCCUUGUUGUUUGGAUUAUAGCAACUAGUUGAUACCCCGCGCGUUGCAGCGGGAUAUUUUGUUAGAAAUCUUUUGAAUGUGUAUCAAAGAAAAAAGGCAAUGAUUGAACAAAGUGGCAUGAUAUCAGGCGAGGUGUUUCGUGAAAACAUUUUAAACUCUCAUGUUCCAUGAAAUUGUGAGAAUUAAAUGGCAUAACUCAAAUUUGAUACAGAGCAGGUGGAGAAUUUGCAAUAUACUGUUACCACAGUAUGGUUCUGAUAUUAUCUUGGAAAAUUAUGCCAAGUGAAAAAAGUUAAAUUGAUUUGAAAAUCAUACACUAAAAAUUAAUGUACACACAUACGGAAGUACAGAGUUGAAAGCACAAUCCAUACAAUGCAAAGAAGUAACUUAAGGGUUGCAUAGUUGAAUCGAAAGUGCUGUACACACGAUGUUGAUGGACAAUUUGUGCACGACUUGCUUAAAAGCCACACAGAUUAAAGAAAUGAGGCAAUCCAAUGGUCUAGAUGACAUGUCGUGUCGGAAUCGUGCAAAAAUCUGUCAUGUGCAUAGCACUACUCUUGUUGAAUAGAAUCUGGAGUCUGUAGCAUUUGUUUCAUUGCGAUUUACGCAAAUAUUAGUUGUAGCAGAAAGUAGCAUUAUAUGAUAUCCGCCCAGAGUACAAAAGAAACAUGCUUAGUUGAAGCAUUGGUCUGAAUAUUUCUGCAAUUUCAUCUCAGAUUAGUUUUUUUGAAAAACAACUUGACUGGAGAUCAGAUAAACAAUCAUUAAUAGUAGUACUCCCUUCUCUGAAACAAAUUUAACUGCAUGCUAGUAUAUAACGGCCUAUGUAUCCAUCUCUUGUGGGAAAAGAAUUCUGUUAUACCAAAUCCAAAAAUUGCUAAACACUGUCCCACCACGAACAAAGCAGGAAUGCACUUACCUGUCCAUAGUACAACCUAAAACAUAGUUCCAAAAAAUAUAGAGGGAGUUCAGGGUAGCAACAAAUUAAAGGCAGAGUGGAGAAACUGAAUCCUCAUGGGAACCAAAUGACAUCUACUGUUGUUGGCAACAUAGGCAUCCAUGAUCCAUGGUGAUGGAGUCUCCAGCCAAGCUUCUUCAUAACAAUCAUGGCGAAGGCUGGAUGGAAAGUAAAGUCAAUCAAAUCUGCGGCCUCCUCUUACGGCAAUAGUUAGCCAAAACACGCAGCGGUGAAAACUGUCAUAUGGCGAGGAGUGGCCGCGCAACUGGAUGAAGGGGUAGCCUGAUUGAACCGAAAGAAGACAGAGGAUUUAUGAGGAUCGAUGAAGCCCAAGGGAGAGGAACUGAGGGGUCUCGUUGGGAGAGCAAUUGCCCAGCGCGUCCUUUUCUGUUGCAAGAUUUGAUGGAAGAAGAUGAAAAGAGAGGGGACUCAGCAGGCGCAUGCAUCCGGAGGGCUCGUGGCGGCGGCUGGCUGUGCGCCUGCGCCAAAGAAGUAGGCAAUCGGGGAGAUUUGUUUUUUUCUUUCACAGGAUAUCCUUUGUUUCCCCAUGGGCUUCGAAUAUCUAAGACGGACGUACAAUCCAUUUAACACUUGGCCCAGCCCAACUCCCUCGUUUGCUUCUCAUUUAGCCCAGUUUGAGGGUCGUCUUCAACCUUCUGCACAUGCACGAACAAACAUAGACGCACAACUACUAUGAAUACCUAUCAUAUUGGACAAUUUAGGCCACGGAUUGCGUUAACUUCAAACAUAAAAUUUGUUAUCCUAUUAGUCACGAACCCAUUCCACCAGAAUGCAGAGGAUAUUGUACAGUAACAAAGGAGAUCGAGAAAAGGAGCUUGGCCAUAGGGAAUGACCGGUCGCACUAUCAAGGAACCACCAGAGGGCCACAGUAUCGAGGGAACCAUGCAAGAGAGCGGAGGAGUCUAUCUGGGGACACCAUAGUCGGUGCGCUACCACGGCGAGCUAGAUAGUCAUAGAUAAGCCACGGGGAUGACCCGUCACAAUUGAUGAAUGUUUGCGCUUUUGUAUAUCCAGUUCGUUUGGAGGAGAAAGAAUGAAGGAGAAGGAACGAAACGUUAUUUCACUUAGCGGUGGCAGCUCUCAGUAAUUUGGGCCAACUCUUGAUCAGACGACUGUAGACGACCGAUCUAUGAUGCAUCAAUGGCUAGAACAAUUCGGGUGACGUGGCUUCAUGAGAAGGCAGGAAAAUCAUCUAGUGGGGUGCCCCUAUUUAGAUAUAGAAGAUUGCACCUACUAUUUUUUUGGCAACAUGUAUUAGUUUUUGCUUAGUUUGAUUCCUAUUCAGCUAUCAUGUUGCGUUAACAAAUGCAGAAACAAAUGUUAAACAAAACUUAGUUAACUACAGUGUGGCAAAAGAAACUGAAUGAACCUGUAAAAAGUGUGGAUCUUUAACACCGAUGUCACCAUGCACCUAGUUCUACCUAUCUCUGAAGACAUAGUCGAUUAUAGGAAAAGUCACAGCUGAUUAUACGGAAACUGAGACAACUAAAUUGACGUGGCUAAACAGGACUAGUUACACUUACAUGGCUUCAUACAUGGAAACUGAACACGCGCUUAAUGAUCUAUUCAAACUAUUGCUGGAUGAGAUGUCACCGCUUAUUGCUUCCGUCAACCGUCAACGUGAACUCAUGUAGUUAAUCUACCUCACUAAUUGCUUCAGUGUUUCAGUACAGAAUGAGGCCCCACAUAUGUGAAGCGGGCAAGCUGGUCUGCCAAAUAUUUGGCGAGUGCUUUAGCGCAAACGGUAUGCCCAGGCAUUGGCGAAAAUUACAUGGGAGCAUGAGGACUUGCUUUGGCGAACCAAAUUUUUGGCAUCUAUAUGCAAGCAAAAGUCAAAUCUCACGGACAAGUCACAAAAUUGGUAUGGCUAGUAUUGGUAGUAACCAGACACCUGAAGUCUCACCAAAGAUAAAAUUUACUUUCAAAGUCAAUUAUAUUAGCGUUGCAACAACUAGCAAUCCCUUGCAAGUUCAUAAAUUCAGUUACUUUCUUGACUGUCCCUAAAUACCAGACCGGUCAAAUUCGUCAAAACCUGCUUUUUAAGCUAGACGCAGCACAAGCAAGUAGGUAUUCGCCCAGAUCUACUUUUCAAGUAAAUAUCCUAGCCGGAUGUAGAAAAUAUCCUAUCAUUUCACCAGAUCUAGAGAUACGGAAGAAUAUUUGGAAGCCGAAGAUGGCAGGGGGGAUGGAUUGGUAGAUGCAUACCGAAAUGCUGGUCUGCUUGCAAGCAAUCGACCGCCUCGAGGCCUCCUGAAAAGCCAAAUCCUUUUUCUUCUGCACCGCAUCCCCCGCCCCACUAUUCUGGCUGCUAUCAGAUGGUCGACUGCUGCUACUGAUAGUUGCCUUCGUCCCUCCGCGGCUGCUGGAUUCGUUGACCGACGCUCCUCUUUUCUUCCCCCCCCCCACCUCCCCCCGGCUAUGUGUAGCGCCGCGCCGCGCCUCCCACCGCCCCUUCCUCUUGUGCAAGCGACGAAUCUGUGGAGAGAGUAUAAGCGGAGGAGCACUUGCGGUGACUGUAAAGUCGACACUUUUCUACUGCCUGCCCGACUAAUGCUUCUCAAGAGAGGAUGGUUUAGGAUAUCUCCAAGGCCGGCCCUCAAAAGGUCCGCAUACAUUUGGACCCCCUUGUCCAAAUGCGUUGUGCCAUUCAAUAUGGCCCUGUAUCGGUCAAUCGAAUGAUUCAGACGUGUUUUCUUUCAUAAACCGAAAACAAACAUGGGGCUUUGGGGGCAUCCGACCACUCCCAAGUCCACGUCUGACCGCUUUGGCCCACCCAAAUCGUCCCCCUCGCCCGCGAUUGCUUCCCACCUGUAACGGUUAGCGCCGCUCCAGAGCGUUAGUGCCGCAUUCAUGCUCGGCUAGAGUGUAUGUAACCUCUCAUUGUCGUCGGCAUUGAAGCGGCAUGUAGGUCGAGAGACAGUCGCCCGCGCUGCUUCCCGGUGCAGGCGACUGCUCCAUGUUCAGACGACACAACGACUGGUCGUCCAUUCGUCUGUCGCCCACAGUAAUGACACAGUUGCCGAUGCGUCUAGUCCGGCGCACCCGUCCGUCCCUGUCGCCCACCAUUACUAUAUAAACUGCUUCUCCGGCCAUAGCCAUAGUCACCCGCCUAUCCGUCUGCCGCCCACAGUAAUGACACAGUUGCCGAGGCAUCUAGUCCGGCGCCACCCGUCCGUCCCUGUCGCCCACCAUUACUAUAUAAACUGCUUCCCCGGCCAUAGCCAUAGUCAUCCGCCUCCAAUCCCUUUCUCCUCUCCGCACCACUUCGACCAUGACUUUCUCGCGCUCCAAAGCACUCUGGGAUGGGCUGAUGACGGACCAGAAGAAGAUGACCGCCAUUACUAUCGACUGGCUGGCGGGCUGACAGCCGGAGGAUGACGACGUCCCAAUGGAGGACGACGAGCCGGCGCCACUCUCCUCGUCCGCACCACCCUCACCGGUGCAUUGCACCAUGACCAUCGGCGAGGCCUGUGCCCAUUACAUUGACAUGGUGAGGGAGGAGCGGGAGGACUAGUUCCGGGAGGCGCAGGUCGACGCCACCUACAACCUCCAGCUCCUCCAAGAGCACCAGCAGGUGGAGCAGCAGCUCAACGUCGGCAGGGUGAUCGCACCGGAUGUGAACGUGGCAGAGCAGGCGGUGCUGCUCGAGUCCUACAGCUCCGUUCGCCAGAUCCACCUCGACCGAUGGCGGGACCUCCAUCGUCAGGCGAAACUGGAGGCCGCCUACAAGGGGUUCGACGAGGCACCGGACGAGGUGUGGGGCAAGACCGGCGAGGUGGAGGACAUCGCCGGCUCUGCCCCGCCGCCACGAUCACGAAGCCGACACGUCCGUGGGCGCCACUGGCAGCGAGGAAAAGUAGUGCACGGCAUGUCGCCACCGCUCGGGUCCCAAAAAGGCCACCGCUCUCCCCUCUCAUUGAAGCCAAGCUUGGUGGGUUCAACAUCGCCGGUUGGUGAGCCGCUUGGCGGCGAUGUGGAGGCGGAUAACUUCACUUCUCGGGGCUUCGAAGGCGGAGCUGAAGAGCGCCGAUGCGGAACUAAAGAAGGCGAAGCUUCAGUUCUUGGGGCUCAUGGUCGGACAGGGGAAACAGACGCCGACGAUAAUAGAUUAGGUUAAUUAAUUAUACCUUCGGAGCCGAACGAGCAAUACUUUUAGUUGAAGUAUGUCCGAAAUGUAAUGAAAUCCGGCAUGUAUGAAAUCCAACAUGUUUAUAUGAAAUUCGGCCGUGUUUGAAUGAAUUUCGUCCGGUUAGUUUGAAUUAUUAUCCAAAUGUAUGCAGACAGUGUUGGAUGACGGCGUCUCGCAUCCGUGUCUGUGGGCUGGUCCCCCUGUCCAGGGAAGGAAAUUUACGGAUCGCCGUUGGAGAUUCCCUUAGAGGAAUAAUGAUUUUAGCCCGGUUUUCCAUGCUUAAUCGAGCAUUGGUUUUCAGAUGUGUUUACCUGCAUCAAUUUAGCCGAUCCGCAUUUAUAGCUGAGUUACUACAUGCUAUAAAUCAUGUUCUGCAUAUAGGUGGUUGUCUGCAUUGCAUCAUGAAGUUAUCUUCACUCGGGCUCUCCCUCUAGUGACCAGCCGCCGUUAUCGGAUCUUGUCGAAGGAGGUUGUCCCCUAGUUGCCACGCUGGAGCUCGCCGCUCGUCACAACGGAAGGUUCGAUCCCAACCCCUCCUCCCUCUCGAGCGUCCCUCGUCGCCAGCCACGCCAAUUUGUUGUGUUCUUAUAUAUAAUGGAUAGAUUGAUUGAAAUAUAGUAGUAGAACAUUGGCCGCCACCGGCAGAAGCUGAUGAAAUCUGUCAUAGUGCAGUAUCGAAGUUAAUCCACCAGCAGAACAUCCCGAAAUCAGAGCCUGCCACAUCCUUGAAAUAGAAGGAAAUUAGAGCCUGCUACAGUUUCAUUAGUCAUGCCACAGGCAUAUUAGUAGAACGCCCGUGCGUUGCUACAGGCUACAAUGCAUAUAAAUGAUUCAAAUAAAUAAUUAAGAUUGUCUCUAAAGUUCAACCUCAUUUCGCCCUCUUCUCUGGGCCUGUUUAGACAUCAAACGGGUGUUCAACGCUCUUCCCAAAAUCAAGGGGGGCAAGGCAUGCGCCGCCCAUGACACCUCCCAAGUUGAAUGUCUUGCAUUACCACCAAGCAAAAAUUUGAUGUUUGUUGUUGGGCAUGCAACUCAUAUACCACCGUGUCCGUUAUUAACUUCUAAAGCAACCAACCAAUGCAUUUACCCUUCUAUUCUAACCAAAAAAAUUGCAUGACUUGAUGAAAAAGAAUAUGAACCACCCGCUCAUGCAAUUUACGGCAAAGCCAUCUCUAAUGAAAUGCAAUUUGUCACAUUUUCUAAAGUAGGGGAAUUAUUUCGCUUAGACAACCAUAACUGAACAGACAAGCCCAAUCCCCAUCCCGCUCACUCUGAACCCUUACUCUUAUCACAAUAUCCACUAACUCGUGUUCUAAGUGAGCUAGUGAUCAACACCACAAUAGCAAGCCAUCAGCAAAAAACAAGGGCGGCAACCGCCUUCCUAUCUUAGUGAUAGUACCUCCUGGUUCCAUACUGGACCCACCCUUCAUCCCGGGCUAUAGCACGUCGUCGUCACACUCAUACAUUGCUAUGUAAAAAUAAAGCUAUGAACAGAAAUUUUCGCCCAAAGCACUUAAGCGAUAAACCUAAAACUACUUUUAGGUCACCAAAUUUACCAAUUAUAUGCUCCAAUAAACCAAAUGAAAGAGAGGGUAUAUCAAGUUGGAACCUUGAAUACAAAUUUAUUCUCCUCACUUUAUAUCUAAUAUACCAAAAACUGCUUUUAGGUUACCAAAUUUACCAAUUUUAUGAUCCAAUAAACCAAAUGAAUGAGAGGGCAUAUCAAGUUGGAACCUUGAGUUUCCCUUCAACAAAAGUUGGAGCCGUGAGCUAAAUACGAGAACCUAAAUAGAUAACAUUCGAGAUGUUUGAGGUACUGGGAAAACCAUCUAAAACCUAAUAAAAAAGUCUAGCUGAAAUAUAAAUAUUUGAUUAUAUUGCAUGGAUAAACCAGCAUUGCCACCGGAGAAAACAAUUAUUGACACCAAAUUGUUCUAAUCAAGAAUGUGUCUUGAACUUGACAGAAUUGGUUUUCAUGCAUAGUGGCAAGUUUUCACUCUCACCCGCUUCUUAUUGGAGCAAAAGGCCACAACCCAGUUCCUCCUGAAAAAUGAGACCAAGGUGUGGCAUUGAUACGUUUUAUAGCCCCAAACAUUCGAGAUGACAACGACAUCAUCGCCGAAGCACACCAACAGGGCAACAACGAGAUAUGCAAGAACUAAAAAUAAAGUGCUAAAAGCAUGGUUUACUAAGGAUAACCGUUCAUAUACUGAAACAUAGCUAAACAACAAGUAAAUUCAAAACAUGCUACCCCCGUGCUAGGAAAGAACUUCAGCAUACAGAAAUUUUAUGCAUGGAGCUUCAAGCUUCACAAAGCCAGCCGACGUGUUCUUUAGUUCUGCACCGGUUCAUUGCCACCUUGGAAUGGUAGCUUCCAUCAUCUUCCCUGCCACGAAGACCCGAAAUUGGUCCAACUCUAGAGUGAUGUCAUGAACAUAGCAACCGGUCCUUCUAAUUCAUACCUCUUGGCAUAAAAACAAAAUGGAUUAUCUCACUCAACUCCUAGAGGGAUUCGAGUCAUCAUUGAAAUCUGGAGGAAGAAGAAGAUCGUAGACCAGCAGUCUGAGAAAGGAAAUGGUCAUGAGAAGAACAAUAAAGAUACUAUUGUCACCUAAGCCGAUUACAUAUUGGGGUAAAAAACCUGAUUGGACGAAACAUAUAAUUUUGUUAGGUUGGAAAUCAGAAACAUUGUGUCAAUUUAUGAAGGCCACAGAAAACAUACUUGCUGAUUCAUUCGACAACAUGAGAGCUCAAACUAAGUUGAAGUGGUUUCCUUUUAAAAAAAUCCAGUAUUGAUCAUGAAUUGUUCAACAAAAAUGAGAGUGCAUGAAUAUACAUUACUACAGUAUAUUAUAUAUGCAACUUGUAAUUCUCGUAAGUGAGAAAAUACAUCGCUUGCAAGAAUGUGCUUACCUAACUUGAUCUCAGCUAUUUUCAUAUGAACUUUACAAAUUUUACAUACUGUGUUACAUAUGUCUUUCUGUUCUCAGGUUUUUAACUGAAAAAACAUGAUACUAUGCAAUUUGUCCUCACCCCGCCGGUGGGUCAGCGGUAUAGUUAUGGCUCACCCUUGGUGUGCUUCGGCGAUGAUCACCUUUGGGGUGCAUUAAGGUGAAGGCCGUGCUGUCUGAUGCCAUGCUGUCACAUGAUCAUGUAACUGUAAUAAGAACUACGGGUGAUAGAAUAUGCAUGAAAACAAUUGGUCAGUUCAUCAUAUCCCCUGCCACCAGCUACAAAGUAUAACAAUAUCCACAUGUUUUAUAUCCCCUGUCACCAACUACAACAUGUGAAAAUCUUGACAGGUAACAAAUUGGUAACUGAGCAACAUCUAUGCUGUCAUGUAACAAUAAUGACGAGGUUCAGUCAGAGUCAAGAUGUCAUUGUGUUGUACUGUCAAAGAAAAAGGAUGUUCGCAUGGCAUUGCUACUGUGAAAAAAACUGCAUGCCAGCAACUCAAUAGUACUAAGAUAUACCUCUUCGCCAGUUUAAUGGAGGGCAGAACUCGAAAACAAAAAAAAUCAAGAGGGCAUUGCUUAGCGCGUUUAGUAAUUUUCUACUCACCUAUACUCCCCAAACAUUUCUUCAAGACAUUUUGUAUCCCUUCCAGUUGAGUUGUUGAGAUGUCAUACAUAAAUGUUUUCCAGAUAUAAUAGUUCAGUUUGAAGCAGAAAUCAAAAAACAUGUUUACGUGAUAACCUGUAAUAGAUAGACUUCACGCUCAAAAUACAUGUGUGUAUCUUCAUUGCAAUUUGGAGAAGUAGCUAUCCAAACCAAGAUGCUGCAAUCUUAGAGAAGAGAAAGCUGAAUCAUACCGUAUACUAGUAUUAGCUCCAGGUACGGAGCACAAAUCACUCUGAUAUUUUCUGCUUUGUCUGUGCACUUCAUGCCCAGCUUGGUGCCGCAUUGCUUGCUGCCACUACCUGCACUACCUGACAGAGCACACCAACCAUGUAAUCCACGGUCCACCCAGCAAGGCAUUCUAACAAGUAAUCCACCACAACUGUAAGUUCACAGACCAUAUGCAUCCGACAGCUGUAUCCUAAAAUCAAGAAAAUUACGGAACGAGUCUGGCGAUGGCUGCUCAUCUUGAUGGUUCUCUCUCGAAAUUGUGAGGACGGCCCAGAGGUUCCUUCGGCGAGGAGGAGAACUAUGCCGACGGUGCAGACAUUCCUGCAGGAGGCGAGUGGUAGCGAGCAUCGUGUAGCGGAGGCUGGCGAAGGUGAGGACAUGUCCAAAUGCCGCAUCGACCAGCACGGGCACGUCGUGAUGGAGAAGGGGCUCGAAGGAGACGAGGAGGUCGUCGAUCAAGAGCGGCGGAGGACAAGUUUGAACAGCCGACAACAUCGCGUAGUGGAUUCAGCGUGGAGGGAGGAAGCUGGCGGCGUUAACCUAGCCGCCACGGGGUAGGGCAGCGACAGUCGGGAAACGCGAAAGGAGCAUGGAGGUGGAGGGCGUUUCUAGCGUGGGUCGUGUUGGCUGGCUUUUUUCCGGAAAGAAGAAUUGCCCUGGUUUUCUUACGACAGUUUUUUGGUUUGAUGAAAAAAAUCGAUGGCGAGCGAGGGGGUCGUGCGAGGGGAGGGGAGCGGACGAAGGAACGAACGAACGAACGACAUACGGACUCGUACAUUAGGAGUAGAGAUUGUGCUGAAAAAAAUCAACUAGCGAAAAAAUCAACUAGCUCACGCAAAACUGAGUACUGGGAUGGCACACCCGACACGUCUUCCUGGCGACGCGGGGAGCGAACCCGCCCCACGUCGGUGGCCGGUGUGGUUCGUCGCCAAUCUGACGAUGGCGGCUCAAAAGCUUCACCGCGGGGUGAUCGUGCUUGGUCCGGACUCAGCGACGCUCGACCUCAUCGACAAGCGGGGGUGUACGGUGGACAGGCAGUCCAGGAGAGGGCUCGUGUUGGCCCCUAGAACCAUGAUUGUGUUCCCUUGUCACGUUGCGCGCAUUGAGGAGGAGAUCCUAGGCGGGGCUGCCGCCUCGGGAGCCGGCGAGGGAGGAAUUGCGGCUGGUGGGAGAGAAAUCGCGGCCGGUGGGGGAUUAAUUGCGUGCAAUACUUAUGGUGAGUCCGCCCCUAUCCCUCUCUAUCCUCCUCUUCUAGCAACCACACCCACCUCCCUCUCUGGUGACGACCGCGACGGCGAUGGUGGAGAUCGACGAAGAGAAGAUGAGGAAGUUUGUAGGCCGAGACACGCGCAUGCAUGCUCGUUUGCGGGAGAUCGGCUCGUGGUACACAAGCAAAAGGGAGAUGCAUGCGGAGGCGGAGGCAAUCUUCGAGAGGUUGACGACGGCGGAGGAAAGGUCGCUGUUCAGAAGGGGUGGACGCAAGCACCCGCUCCAUGUGCUGCUUUGGGCGAUGGACCAGGCGGACCGGAAAGGGCCGUGGCGAGGAAGUGGGUGGAGUUCACUUCCUUCAAGACGGCGCACCUUGCUCCGGCCAUGAGGGGAUCAACUCUCAGAUCCCGCGAGGGGGUCCUAGCCCCCCUGCCCCAGGCUCGGCCAUGGCGCCGAUCGUGAUCUGCGACGACCCGGUGGAACAGCCAUCAUAGGAGGAAGCGCGGAUGCCACGUCGUUCCGCGCGCCUCGCACCAAAUCCGACUCCGCGCCGCUCGGCACGCCUCACCGGAAAUGAUGCCUGAAGACUUCGUUAGCCAACAACCGCUUCUGGAGGUUGGCUAACGAAGAUUCAAGUACCGAUUCUGACGAGGAUGAUGAUUUAGGUAAGGAUUGUUGUCCCUUUUCUUCAUAUGCCUCUACUACAUACGAAAAUAGAGAGCAUCUUCGUGAAAUUGAUAUACGAAGCCAAAUCAGGUGAGUUAAUAGAAAAAUGAAAAAGAAAAUGAAUCAAUAUGUUCAGAGUUUGCUUCUGAAACAUGAGACUGAUAUUGAUAAGAAGAAAAUUGAUACGACCGAGACCAAAUGUGAUGGUAGCUUUACUCAUAUUGACUCUCCUAGCUGGGGAGAAUAUCAUUGUAAAAGUAUAGGCAUGCCUCUGAUUAAAACGAAACCUAGAAAUCCAAUAAUAUGGGAUUAUGCCGGAUUCCCUGAAUAUCUGAGUGAUAUUGAGAUGGAUGAGCCUAAUCAAACCAAAAGAGUAAUUGAUAUUAGUUCGGUGGGAGGGAAGAAAUUAAACAGGAUUGAUAACAAAACUGUCAAGUUGUCAAAGAUGAACAUUCCUGAAAAUUUUAUCCUUGAGGAAGAGGCUGAAGAAAUUCAAAGGGGAGGGGAAAGCCAGAUUUCUACAAAAGGAAAUAAAGAAGACAACAGAGGAGAUAGUUGGAUGCGGGGGGAGGGGGGGUUACUGAAAAAGGCCUUUUGGGCUUUUGGCCCAAUAAGGUGGUCGGUUUUGGGGGCCCAGGGAGGAAAGCAGGGGAAGGUAUAUAUAAAGGGGGCAUUCCACUUUACAUACCAGAACCAGACUUCCUCCACCUCCCAAACCCUAUAUCCAAGGCGGCGGCGAGCAGAGAAAUCAGAUCUGAAGAAGAAGAGAGGAUUUGGGGAGNNNNNNNNNNNNNNNNNNNNNNNNNNNNNNNNNNNNNNNNNNNNNNNNNNNNNNNNNNNNNNNNNNNNNNNNNNNNNNNNNNNNNNNNNNNNNNNNNNNNNNNNNNNNNNNNNNNNNNNNNNNNNNNNNNNNNNNNNNNNNNNNNNNNNNNNNNNNNNNNNNNNNNNNNNNNNNNNNNNNNNNNNNNNNNNNNNNNNNNNNNNNNNNNNNNNNNNNNNNNNNNNNNNNNNNNNNNNNNNNNNNNNNNNNNNNNNNNNNNNNNNNNNNNNNNNNNNNNNNNNNNNNNNNNNNNNNNNNNNNNNNNNNNNNNNNNNNNNNNNNNNNNNNNNNNNNNNNNNNNNNNNNNNNNNNNNNNNNNNNNNNNNNNNNNNUGGGACCUGGUAGUAGCUUUGCAGUUGCCAAUCCCAAUAUUCAGCAAAUGGGUAUGCAAGGGGGACAGAUGCAGAUGGCAGGUGGAUUUCCCAUGGUAAACAACCCUAAUUUCCCUCAGCUGGUGCCUGUUGGGAUGGGGCUGGGGCAGUUUGGUUUCUUACCACAUGAACAAAUGGCAUAUCAAUACCAAUAUCUGCUGUCUAACAUGCCUAAGCAGGAAAUACUGAAGAUGCAGGAGCAAGCAAAAGAUGAGGGAGGGAAAGAGGCACCAAAGAAAAGGGAAGUAGGUAAGAAUAACAAAGAUCUUUUCUGUGUUAAAUGCAAAGAGCAGGGACAUCUCAAGAGUAACUGCAAAAAUAGGUGUUUUGUGUGGUGUGUCAGAGAGCAUCAUACAAUACUGAGGAGUGUACAAUCCUGAAGCAAGCUAAACCUGUGGCCAAAUAUGUGGGGUAUGGAGCUAGGGGACUGGGAUGUUUAUUGGUCGAGCACACCAAAGACAUUGUUGCUACUGAGCAUAUAAACCCAAUGGCACUAGUCACUGUACAAUCUGGGCAGUUGAAUGAGACUAUAGUAGCCUAUGGAUUUGCCAAGAUGUUUGAAUGGGGGUGGGCCUGGAGAGCUAAAUUCUAGAGUCCAAAAACCUUCCUGAUGAGAUUUCCUAACAAAACCAAAUUGGUGGAGCUUAAAAACUUUGGAAAAUUCACCCUGUUGGGAACAAGAGCAAUGGUUGAGGUUGAUUUCUGGAGCCCAUAUGAUAAAGCCAAGGGAAAACUUCACUCAGUUUGGAUAAAGAUGUGGGGAGUGCCUGACACUCUAAGGCACUACUUAGGGGUGUGUGAGAUUGGCUCUGCUUUAGGACCAGUAGUGGAGGUUGAUGUGGAGCACAUACACUCCCAGGAAGAAAUCAGGGUGAAGGUUGGAGAGAGUGACAUGCACAAAAUUCCAGUAGGGACUGAGAUUACCACUAAAGACCUUUUGCUAUAUGACAUAAACUUUGAGUUUGACUCAGUUGCUGAACAGGGAUGGUACAAGUUUGAUGAGGGGAACAAAAGGAAGAUGUUUGAAUAUCUAGAUCUUGAGAACUUUGAGUCACAAAGAGAGAAUGGCAUGCAAAAGAAAAGCAAACAAGUGGACACUAAAAAACAGGGCAUGAACCUGGGGCAUUUGGGUCUGAAACAGUAUGAACAGAUGGUUCUGAAAACUAGUGAGAUCUGUCAAACUGAUGAAGUCUCCAAAAAAAAAACAAAGAGACAGCUGCAGUUACAGAAUUGCAAGAGAGGGAAGAGAGCCUGAUGAUCAGGCUACAAAAAGCAGAGGAACUGGCUGUUAGGCAGACUGCGCAACUAAUGUUGGAAGAGAAAAGGAGGAAAGAAUUGGAGCUUAUUAGGAAAACCCUUGAGAAGGAGGUUAAAAGACAGCAUGAGCUACUCCAGAUCAAUCUGAAAGGGGAUGAUGAUGUGAAAGGAUCACAAUCUGGAGAUAAAAGCAGCAAUGAAGAGGAAGAAGUAGAAGCCAUUGAUGAAGAUAUGGGAGUGGAGGACAAACAGGAAGAGGGGGGAGAUAUGAUAGAGCAAGAAUUGAUUGAUCAAGACAUUGGGCUGGGAUAUGUGGAGCCAGUGGAUUACACAGCUAGUCAAGACACAGACUCAUUUGAGACUAAGAUUAAAAAAGCUGGGAAGGGGGAGGCUGUACUGAAAGAUGAAGAGGAGCUGAGAAGAUGCCUUAGGUUAAAGGGAAAAGAAGAUCGUAACAUUACAAAACUGGCCAGGGAGAGGGCAGCAAAGAAAGAUAACUAUGGUGAGUUACCUUGUAUUGGAAGCUUUCCUAAAUCUAACAGUUUAUUGCAAAAGGUUGCUGAGGGGGUAGGGGUCACACUAGGAAAAAAUACUGAUAUGAUUAAUCAUAAUUUGGAAUUGAUAAAAAAUGUGGAGCAUGCUAGAAUUGACUUGUGGUUGUCUGACUUAAAUAAAAAACAGAAACACGAUAUGCUGCCUGAGGGAAAUGAGAUCAUUGACACUGGGAAACAUACCCUGGAAGAUUUACUAGACCAGGGAGAUGAGGAGGGAGAUAGAAAGGAUGAUGAGGAUUGGGAAAUAGUUAGAGAAUUUUUCUCAUCAAAAAAGGGGGGAAGAAGGACAAAACCACCAGAGGUUCUGGGGUUAAAACUGCCUUUGCUGUAAAAAUGUUAGAAUCCUCUGCUAAGAAAAAGAAACAAAAGAAAUGAGAGGUAUUUUUUGAAAUAUGAGAGGUUUUGGGGGAGACAUUAAAAGAAGAUUCCUUAGGGAAAUGAUAAUGGAUAUGAAAGUAGAUUUUCUGGGUUUGCAAGAGACCAUGAGAAAACAAUUUUCUAGAAAUGAUUUACAGCAAAUUUGUGCUGGCAGAGACUUCCACUGGCAUUUCACUCGAGCUAGGGGGAAAUCUGGUGGACUCUUGUUAGGGGUGAAUUACACCACUCUAGAUGUGAUCUCACAAGAUGAAGGAGAUUAUCAUAUUAAAAUGACAGUGCAAGAUCUAAAAACUAGGUUCAUUUGGAACCUAGUGGUGAUUUAUGGAGAUGCUCAACCAGAGAGGAAAGCUAAAUUCCCGGUUGAUCUUUCUAGAACUUUUCAAACCAGUGUAAAUCCCAUUCUGAUAGGGGGUGAUUUCAACAUUAUUAGAAAAGCCGGUGAAAAAAAUAAACCUGGCACUCCUAGACAUUGGAGUUUUUUGUUUAAUGCUAUUCUGGAACAAGCUGGAGUUAGAGAGCUUGAAAUGAAUGGUAGACAAUUUACAUGGGGUAAUAAUGUGCCUGUACCUACCUUUGAAAAGCUGGAUAGAAUUUUAUGUACUACAGAAUGGGAGGAGGUAUACCCCCUUGACUCAAAUUACAACACCAACUAGAGAGAAAUCUGACCAUACACCACUUCUUUUAGACUUUCGUGACAUUCAAAAAUCUGAUCCCAUUUUCAGAUUUGAAAAUACUUGGUUCUUGAGAGAGGGGAUUGACAAGAUUGUUCAUGAUAUCUGGAAUGACACCAGUAUCACUGGAGACAGUGUAGACAGAUUGUUGGGGAAAUUUAGACUACUCAGGCCUAAACUCAAAGGCUGGAACAGAAACAUGAAUGCUUGGUAUGUUGAGUUGAAAAAAUACAUUUUACUUAAGCUGGAUAAUAUUGAUUAACAUUGUGAACAGAAUGGACUUACUGCUGCUGUUAAAAAGGAGCAAAUAGAGCUUAGAGCUCAGUUGGACUGGCUUUUACAACAGGAAGAAGCUAAGUGGAAGCAAAGGGCUAAGGUGGAUGAAUUACUGGAAGGAGAUAGUAACACAAAAUUCUUCCAUGCCAAGGAAAAUGGGAGACUUAGAAGAAACAAGAUUAAUAGGCUUGAGCAAGAAGAUGGGGUGAUUGAGGGAGACAAAAAUCUGGUAGAACAUAUAACAAGUUUCUAUAAAAACCUGUUUGGUCAUCCUCACAACUCUACAAUUUUUCUAAAUAUUGAAAAUCCAAAAAUGAUUCAUGAACAGUAUAGAGACAUACUGAUCAAUGAGUUCUCUGUAGAGGAAAUUAAGAAUGUGGUCUUUAAUAUGGCCCAUAAUAAGUCACCUGGCCCUGAUGGAUUUACAGCUGAAUUUUAUCAGCACUAUUGGGAGUUGGUAAAACAUGACCUUAAGUCCUUACUGGAUGAUUUUGCAAACAAAAGAAUUUAUAUUAGUAGGUUAAAUUAUGGGAUUAUUACUCUAGUCCCAAAAAGCAAAGAUGCUACUAGGAUACAAAAUUUCAGGCCUAUUUGCUUGUUAAAUGUUUGUUUCAAAAUUAUUACUAAAGUUCUGAUGAACAGAUUGAAUAUGGUGGAAGCAGAUGUCAUUUCCCCUGUGCAAACUGCUUUUGCUAAGGGAUGAUAUAUUAUGGAGGGGGUUUUGAUUUUGCAUGAAGCCUUGAAUAGCAUAAAAAAGAAGAAACAAGGUGCUUUUCUUUUAAAGAUAGACUUUGAAAAAGCUUACAAUAAGAUUAAACGGUCCUUUCUUUUCCAAAUGCUCAAAAUGAAAGGUUUUCCAGACAAAUGGAUAGAUUGGGUGAUGGAAACAAUCAGAGGAGGAAAGGUUUGUGUGAAAGUAAAUGAAAACCUAGGGACAUACUUCCCUACUCAUGAAGGGCUGAGACAGGGGGAUUCCCUGUCACCUCUUAAUUUUGACUUGGCGGCUGAUGCUUUGGCUAUCAUGCUUGAUAAUGCCAGGAAAAAUGGGCUAGUUAAGGGGGUACUGGAGGAAUAUGCCACAGAUGGGAUUAACAUGUUGCAGUAUGCAGAUGAUACCAUCUUUCUUUUACAAGACGACAUAGAUAAUGCACAUAACCUUAAAUAUAUAUUAUGCCUAUUUGAGCAGAUGUCUGGUUUAAAAAUCAAUUUUCAUAAGAGCGAACUUUUCCUUUUUGGGGAGGCCAAGAACAAAAAAGAUGAAUAUGCUAAGAUAUUCACUUGCCCCAUUGGGGCUUUGCCAAUGAAAUAUUUAGGACUACCAGUGGAUGGAAGCAGAAUUAGCAACAAGCACUGUAAAUCUCCAGAGUAAAAUGGAGAGAAAAUGUGAAACCUGGCAAGGGAGGCUCCUUGCUAGUGCUGGGAGGGUCACUUUAAUACAAUCUUCUCUGGCAGGCAUCCCUUACUUUAUGAUGUCCUUUUAUGGAUUACCUAUUAGGGUGAAUAAGCGAAUGGAUUUCUUUAGAGCUAGGUUAUUGUGGCAGGAAGAUGAUAAAAAGAAAAAAUAUCAUCUGGUUAAAUGGUCUGCUGUCUGUAGACCUAAAGACAUGGGUGGUUUGGGGAUCCAAAAUCUAGCACUGAUGAAUAAUGCUCUCUUGAGCAAAUGGUGGUGGAAAAUUUACAACACAGAAGGGUUAUGGCAAGAGAUUAUUUUGAAAAAAAUACCAAGGAUCCAAGCCUAUUGGAAAUAUAACUGCUAAACAAGGAGACUCCCAAUUUUGGAAGGAAUUAUUGAAACAUAGGGAUCAUUUUACCUCUUUAUGUAAACUCAUAAUAGGAGAUGGAGGUAACACCAGAUUCUGGGAAGACUGGUGGAUUGGAUCUGCACCACUUUGUAAAAAAAUUCCCAGGUUAUAUAAUAUCUGUUUUGAUAAAAAGAAAACAGUUAAAGAAAUUUUUGAGAAAGGGUUUAAUAACAUAUGCUUUAGAAGGGCCCUGAUAGGGGACUCAAAAGAGCUCUGGGAACAUAUAAAAGAGGUAUGCAGUUCGGUGGUGUUGAGAGAUACAAAAGAUAAAGUGAAAUGGACUCUAACAAAAAAUGGGAUUUAUACGGUAAAAUCCUUCUACAGACAUCUUGUAGAGAAUGGGAUCAAUACGCACACUUAUAUAUGUGGAAAAUUAAAAUGCCACCUAGAGUUAAAGUCUUCAUGUGGCUGGCUCUUAGAAACAGCAUUCUCACUAAAGAUAACCUGCUACGUAGGGGUUGGAAAGGUGAUGAAAAUUGUCCAUUCUGUGGGCGUAGAAAGAGUAUUAAUCAUUUGUUUCUGACCUGUUCAAUAGCUAGGCUUUUGUGGAAUAUUUUGAAAUGUGCUUUCAACUUAACUGAUAUACCAGACGAAUUAGAACUGGUGGUUAAAAGUUGAGCAAAAAACUUUGGAAAAGAUGAGAGGAGCUUAGUUUUGAUAGGAAUUUCGGCUAUCUGUUGGACUAUUUGGAAAUUGAGAAAUAGUGUUGUUUUUGAUAAUAACAGAGUAAAUGAUCCUUGUAUACCUGUCAACUUACUACUCAAGAACUUAUAUGAUUGGAACAUCUUGCAGAAAACCCCCGUAAAAAAUAAGAUGAUGGAGGUAGGAGUGAAGCAGAUCGGCGACGUAGCUGAAGAAGUGUUCAAGGCAGUCCAUGGAUGGCAUCUGGAGACCAGAAGAAUUGUGGGAUAAGCUACAACUCCUCUGCCAUAUGCUGCUGUGGUGGACGCUUAAUCAGGCCUUUGCUGCCCUGCUCUCACCCUGUCUCUUUUGAGCUCUUUUUGUAUGGGGAUGCUCUAGCUAUUGUAUGAUGUUAAACUACUUUCUUUUUGCUCUUGUGAACCUUGUAAUGCUGGUACUGGGACCGGUUUGAGCCCAGGCCUUAGAUCUUCCCCUGGGGGGUUCUUGCUUGAGGGUCUGUGGGAAGGGGAGGGAUGGCUCUCCUUCCUCCUCGAUAGCNNNNNNNNNNNNNNNNNNNNNNNNNNNNNNNNNNNNNNNNNNNNNNNNNNNNNNNNNNNNNNNNNNNNNNNNNNNNNNNNNNNNNNNNNNNNNNNNNNNNNNNNNNNNNNNNNNNNNNNNNNNNNNNNNNNNNNNNNNNNNNNNNNNNNNNNNNNNNNNNNNNNNNNNNNNNNNNNNNNNNNNNNNNNNNNNNNNNNNNNNNNNNNNNNNNNNNNNNNNNNNNNNNNNNNNNNNNNNNNNNNNNNNNNNNNNNNNNNNNNNNNNNNNNNNNNNNNNNNNNNGUCAGUUUUUUCUUUGCUUUCCUUUUUAGUUGUAAGAAGACCUGUUGAUUUCUUUUAAUAGAAAUCAGAGAGAGAGCUCUCCUUUAUAAAAAAAACUGCUUAGUGUAGAUCCAUGGAUUGAUAUGGAAAGUUAUAGAAAUGUUGUAGAAAUGGCCUUGCUUCAUGGCCAGCCGUGCCUAAUAUACAUGUCGUAGGAAUAUUUUUUUAGGAUUAGUAAUCCAUGGAUAUCUAUAUUGGUAUGCAUAUGAAGUGCUUGAUGACCCCAAUUACUAGUAAUUAAGUUCUUGAAUGUGAAUGCGAAUUGAAUGUGUGUGUGUGGGUAUAAAGACAAACCAAAUAGGGCAAUAAUACAUAUUACAUAACAAGGUCCACAAAACACAAAUAAACAUAGUUUUUGCAAACAUAAUGUUAGGAAUAGGCCCGAUUUAUCGAUAUAUUCCUGAUAAAUCGCUUGUUAGAGUGAUAAAUCAGCCCAAAUGAUAAAUGGCGAAGAUAAUGCAUAAUCUUAUCGGUCACCCCAUGAGUAGCAAUAAAUCGGACGAUAAAUCGAUGAAUCAGAAGAUUUUUUGGACAGUGGUAUGCGGUAUGCUUAAUUAAGAGGACAAUCAAUAUGUGUGUAUGUAUUCCCUCUGUUUAGUGAUCUAAACGCUUUUAUAUUUCUUUAAAGAGGGAGUAGAUGACAUGGAUAUGAAUCAAUUUGAGUGGAUAAAUUUUUUUGAAUGAUGCAAAGAAAAAUGCAUUAUGUUUACAAGCAAAUACAUAUUCAUGUGAUACUGUUUUGGCAUAUAGAAUUUAUGAAAUGUAUAUGCAUGGUAGGCCUCUCCUUUCGAGAGAGAAAAUCAUUGUAUGUAUAGAUGGAAAUCAAUUUGAGAGUAUAUAUUAUAUUUCUUUUUGAAUUAUGGAAAUAAGAAUCCAUAUUCAUGUGGUAUGAAAAUAUAUGAUUUUUUAUGUGGUAUACCAAUCAAUAUCUGAUGUGUUUUACGUGGUAUGAAUUUGUGAAUGCGAAUGUGUAGUCUAUUUCUCUUGAUAAAUAUUUAGCCAUCGUACUUUCUUCUCUAACAGAAUAUGGCAUGCCAAGUUUGCAAGUCAAAGUGUGAAAGAAGCCUUACAAGUGG
rnacentral:lncRNA from 1 species